UACGGGGGGGGGCAAGCGUUGUUCGGAAUUACUGGGCGUAAAGGGCUCGUAGGCGGCCAACUAAGUCAAACGUGAAAUCCCUCGGCUUAACCGGGGAACUGCGCUUGAUACUGGAUGGCUUGAGAUUGGGAGAGGGAUGCGGAAUUCCAGGUGUAGCGGUGAAAUGCGUAGAUAUCUGGAGGAACACCGGUGGCGAAGGCGGCAUCCUGGACCAACACUGACGCUGAAUAGCGAAAGCCAGGGGAGCAAACGGG
rnacentral:rRNA from 1 species